rnacentral:rRNA from 1 species
GUCCACGCCGUAAACGAUGGAUACUAGCUGUUGGGAGGCGAUCUCAGUGGCUAAGCGAAAGUGAUAAGUAUCCCACCUGGGGGAGUACGUUCGCAAAGAAUAGAAACUCAAAGUAAUUGACGGGGGCCCGCACAAGCGGUUGAGCAUGUGGUUUAAUUCGAUGAUAACGCGAAGGAACCUUACCAAGGCUUAAAUGUAGAUUGACCGGUUUGGAAACAGAUCUUUCGCAAGACAAAUUUACAAAGGUGCUGCAUGGUUGUCGU